GUAAUGAUCCCACCAAUUCACAAUCCUAAAUAAUGAUAAUAAUAAUAAUAAUCUUAACUGAUUGGAGGUGUUGACAUGUACAUGUUUUGUCUUGGUGUAAAAUAUGGGCUCAGCAAAUAUUCUGCUCAUUACCAUAGAUUUGCUUUUCAUUUGUUUGACCAUAACUGGUUGAGCAUGUCCUUUAGUGGCUGAUUGUGAGCAGAAGUGGUGGAGGAGCAUCAUGGCCAUGUGUUGAGAAGAAUUCGUAGGGGUUUGAAUAAUUCACCUCUGAAAAUAUCGGUGCUUGCAUAGGGUAUUUUUAGCUGUGAGGUUAAGGUUCCAGACUACUACUUCUUGUAGAGUAAAAGUAAAGUUACCUUCUCGCAUCAUACCAACUCAUAAUAGCCAGUUUCCUGGUUUCAUGGUGUAUGAAUUCCCCACCUGGACUGGAUGCUGGUCUGCCACAGUGUUACGCAUUUUUGCCAGCUGAGUGGACUGGAGCCACGGAAAAUGAAGUGUUUUGCUCAAGAACACAACGCAUCACCCAGUCCAGGAAUCGAAACCACAAACUUACAAUCAAGAGUCCAACACUCUAACCUCUAAACCAUGCACCUUAACCAGACUACUGCUUGUUGUGUGGUUAAUCCAGGUUUUUGUAGCUUCUACAUUUUGUGAUAUACCAUUUUUGUUUUCAUUUUAACACUAGAUUGUCUAUGCUUUCAUGGGUUGGAUUGUGUAUUGGAUCAAAUUUUUUAUGGCCAGAUGCCUUCCCUGUCACUAACCCUCACUUGUUUCCAAGCAAAGUAAUAUUUUCCCCAUGGCCAGGCAUGUUUUCACAGAAUAUCGCAAAUGCAUGAUACUGCUUGUAUGACCAUGACGCUGACGGCUAUCAUGCAAUGUCAAGACAAGGGGAUUCCAAACAUACACACACUCACUACCACACACACAUAUAUUUAUAUAUAUAAGGCGGCGAGCUGGCAGAACCGUUAGCACACCGGGCGAAAUAUGUAACCGUAUUUCGUCUGCCGUUACGUUCUGAGUUCAAAUUCCGCCGAGGUCGACUUUGCCUUUCAUCCUUUCGGGGUCGAUAAAUUAAGUACCAGUUACGCACUGGGGUCCAUGUAAUCGACUUAAUCCGUUUGUCUGUCCUUGUUUAUGCCCUCUGUGUUUAGCCCCUUGUGGGUAGUAAAGAAAUAUAUAUUUAUAUAUUUAACAGGCUUCCUUCAGUUUCCAUCUAAGUUCACUCAGAUGACUUUGUUUGACCUGGGGCUAAAGUAGAAGACACCCAAGGUGCUGUGUUGUAGAACUAAACUUGAAAUUAUGUGGUUGGGAAGCACUUCUGACCCACACAGCAAUGCCUGAUUGGCCAAGCUUUCCAUUAGUUGAUUUGAUCAAUGGUAUGGCAUGCUCAUGAAAUUAAUGUUCAAGUAGCCAAGUGCUCCACAGAGACAUGUACCGUUAAUAUAGUUCUCAGGGUGAUUCAGCAUGACACAGAAUGUGACAAGGCUGGCUCUUUGAAAUACAGGUACAACUUAACUUUUGUCAGCUGAGUGGACUGGAGCAAUGUGGAGUUAAAGCUUAUAAAUUAAAAUGAAAUAUUUUGUUUUGUCUGAAGACAUUACAAAUGAGGAGAGUCAGUUGUCUCCAUCAAAAAAUUAAAAAAAAAUUUUUAAAAAAAGGAACAAAGCAAAAAUACAGAAUACAUGUUUGCUCAGGAAAAACUGUGAAAAUUGUCCUCUGACUGGUUGCAAGUAAGUGCUUGAGUGAACUCCAUUUCAUAAGGCUGGUAGUUCAAUUCAGUGUUGUGGGAUUGUGUAUUUGAACAGCAGGCUGUAUUGUAAGCAUUCCCAUUCACCUACAUCAGUGGUUCCCAAAGUGGGUAGUAUUGUUCCCCUGGAGGCAGUGAAAAGUUCCUAGGAGGUGCUGAAGGAAAGUGGGGCGAUAAUGGGGUCGUGAUUCAUGUAAAAAUUGGGGUGAUAAUGGGGUGGUAAUUCAUGUAAAAACAACAAAAUGAUGGGUUCAUUGGGUUAUAUUUUAUUUGUGAAAUACAGUUGUUUUGAAUUUGCUUCAGAAAGAGGUCUAUGUUUGUGAUGGUUAGUUGGGGUGGUGGCGCUAGGAAUUUGGCCUAGGUGUCAAGGAAGCGGCAGUCCGAAAAAGUUUGGGAACCACUGACCUACAUGACAAGGAUCUGAGAGUUGAGAUAGGCCAGGUUCCCAUUUCAAAACAUUUAUCUCUCAUCUACUGAACACUUUAAAAUUGAAAUGAAGACAAGCACAGAUUUUUGAAGACUCCUUGAAAUAAAAAUAUUUUAAAAAAAGAACCAUUUUAUAUACAGUUUGGCAGAAAUAAAGACAUGUAUGCUCAUCUAUCUAUUUUUAUUAUUCUUAAACAAGAAUAUUAUUGACAGUGACUUCGAAGUUUUGACCAGUUAAGCCAAACAUCAAAGUCAUUGUCAAUAUUCUUGUUUAAGAAUAAUGAAUCUGUACUUAAGAAAAGUAUAGAGUAACUCCACAGAUUAAUGUAAAAUUGUUUUUAUUAUAACAACAUUAACACACACACACAUAUAUUCUGUGGGAUGGUUUCAUUCAAAGCUGAAGACCCCUUACAUCAUUAUCAUCACACCAGUUUUCUACUCUGUAUACAUUCAUUUAACUAAACAAAUGCUUACCAACUAUGCUAGAAAUCUCUAUUAUAAUUUCAAUGGCAGUUAAUCAGUAGACUCGAUCGAGCAUCAACCAAAAUCGUUUGCAGUAUCUGUUUUGUCCCUUUGUUUUUUAAAUUCUGGUUGUGCCAGAAUCAACUUUGCCUUCCAUCUUUCUCAGGUUGAUGACAUAAAGUAACAGUCAGUUUCUGGGCUCAUUAGUAUUAAUUAAGCCCCUUUCUUAAAUUUCUAGGGCUGUGUCUAUCUGUAUUAGAGACAAUUGUUUAAGGAUAACACAGACAGAAUCAUUAGAACAUCUGAUAAAAUGGCCAGGCCAGUGGAUGAGGAGAGCCUGCGCCAUUGCUGCAUUCACCAUUUGUUGGUGUAUUCCCAGGUCCUCUUGGGCAACCCAUUGAACAGAGUUUGAGUAAGUCCCCAUCUCUCUGAGAUCCUUCCUCAUCAGCCAUGACCAUGUAACAUGUGGUCCUGAACUUCUUUGAUACCAGGAUGCUUUGCAGGAUUAUGGGUCACUCUUGGUCAGAUUUUCUAUCCAACCAAUGACUCUUUUCGGAAGCUUGGGAUAUAUCCUGUUAUUGUAUGGAUUCAGGAGUAACCACCUCAAACAAUUUGGCCAUGUUGCUCAAUUUCCCAAGUUAGACCCUGUUUACCCUGUUCUCUUCUCCAAGUACUUAGCUGGGUUGAUGGCUCAUGUUGGUUGACCACAUACCACCUAAUCAUGGCAGAUGAAGAGGAAGUAUAGACAAAAGAAUAAUCAUUAUUUGUCACGGCUCUUAAAGUUUUGAGUUCAAAUCUUGCUAAAAUCAACUUUGCUUUUCAUCUUUUUGGGAUCAUUGAGAGGAAAUACCAGUCAAGCAUCGGAAUCUAAUGUAAUUGCAUGUUUUCCUUUCACAAACAAAAUACUGGCCAAAAUUAGAAAUAAAUUAUUACUUUGGGUCUGUUAUGUAACCUGUCUCUGUGUUCUUUUUUAAGGAGAAUGUACACAUUUAGUAUUGUAGAAAAGCUGUGAGGAAAUGUUCUAAACUAGGAAUAUUUGCCAAAGAUAUUUGGAAGCACAAACAUCUGCUUCUUCAUUCCCCUUUACCUAUUAUAUAUAUCUGCAUGUGUGUGAGCGUAUUCACAUAUAUAGAGGCAAUUAUGCAGAUAAAUGCCUCCAUAUCUGCUCAACUUGAUUCCUCUUAUAUCUGUUCUUUACCUAAGUUUGAAUCAUUUGAGCGCUACUAAGUGUCUUCUUUACUAAGAAUCUCUGGAUCUCAUCUUUUGGCUAUUUAUAUAUAUAUAUGUAUAUGCAUCUCUCUCAUAUAUAUAUUACAGAGAUGUACUUGCAUAGCAAGUGACCUGAUCUGAGAUUGUGUGCUGGAACGAAGACAAUUGCAGUGUGGAAGGUUUUAAUAAGCCAUUUAAAACACACAAAAACCGUUAGAUUCACUUCAACACUUAAAUUUACUUUGCCACAAUAUUUUCAUCGCUUUGAGACUGCAACCUGUCCACUCACAAGAUGCAGCACAAAAAUUUUGUCAGCGAACAGGUCGUUGUCUCAAAGCAACAAAAAUAUUUUGGCAAAUUAAAUUUAAAAGUUGAAGUGAAUCUAACGGUUUUUGUGUGUUUCUUAGAUGGCUUAUAAACACCUUCCAUGCUGCAAUUGUGUAUAUAUGUAUGUAUAUAUAUAUAUAUAUAUGUGUGUAUAUGUAUGUAUGUAUGGUUUAUCUACCUUUCAGCCUUACUCUUUCUGGCAGUCUAUCUCCCCAUUACCUCCCCUCCUCCUUCCUAUACAUCUUGCAAGCUUAUUCUUCAAUUUACCUUGUACCUUGUGAGGUCAUCUAGGCACCUUAUCACCAUUAUUUAUCUCUUACAGCUCCUACUGUUCAUUUUCUCUGCUUUCUUUUUCCCCUACUAGAUGUAAGUAACCAUGCAGAUACCCCACAAAAAUUUGCAUUGCUUCUCUUUUCUGGAGAUAAAUCCCUUAAGCCACUAGCAUAUAACUGACUUCCCCAACCUAGGGGAGCUGUGAGCUGUAUGGCAAUCUCAGUAGGGUCAGUGGCACCAAAAAAGCAACCAGUUUAUGCUGUAUAAUGGUUUGCAUUAGGAAGAGCACCCAGUCAUAGAAACUGUGCUAAAACAGACACUGGAACAUGAUGCAGCCCUUGGACACAUUGCAUCCUGUCAAACUGUUCAGCCGUUGCUAGCAUGAAUGAUGAUGAUGUUUGUGUGUAUACACACUUUAUUUGUAGGUUGAUACAAUGCUACCAAUGAUACCAUGUUGGGAAAAAUCUCUCAACAAUUAUCAAGCCUGCCACAUGGGAACAUUGGUAUUUGUCUCCAUCUCAGAUGUGAAUACAUGAAGCUACACAAAGCUGAUAUAUAUAUAUAUAUAUAUAUAUAUAUAUAUAUAUAUAUACAGGGUUGGCGAAAAAUCACCCGACAGUAAAUCAAAAUUCCAUAAAUACUUAAUAUUCAAUUUUAUUUAUUCAUUCCAAUUAUGAAUGUUUAGUAAUUGAAUGCUGUGAGUUAAAAUCACUGUUUUUGCCAAAAUUUGACUUUUUUAGCAAAGUCUCUUUCAGUUGUUAAACAUAAAUAAAUCUUGGAAUUAAUGGUUUUGAUUUACUAUCAGAUGACUUUUGGCUAACCCUGUAUGUGUGUAUAUAUAUAUAUAUAUUAUAUUGAGCACUUUCAUGUACUUGUGAUACAGGAUUCAAGCUGAAAUAUACAUCACACAUUCUAGUCAUCAUCAUCAUCAUUGUUUAACAUCCAUUUUCCAUGCUGCCAUGGGUUGGAUGGUUUGACAGGAGCUAAACUGUCCAACUCAUGCCAGCAUGGAAAGCAGACGUUAAAUGAUGAUGAUGAUGACUACAAUGAGGGAUAUUCGUUCCCCACAAAUGUGAAUCGAUUACUUGCACAACGCUCACUUCAAUGCUUUUGUCUAUAUUUACCUUGAAAGACAUUGGUUGGCAUAUUAGUCUAGCCAUCUGAGAUUCUUGGGGUGGCAAGUUGUCCACUGGAAUGAGGGAACCAAAUCAAUGAGAGGCAGGUGGGGGUUGCAUCAGCAUUUCUCUUUUGAUCUAAUUAGAUUUACACAGUUAAGAUAGGCUUUUUAUGCAGUCACAUUUUAAUGUGCAUGUAUAUGUGUGUGUGCAUACAUAUAUAUAUAUAUUUAUAAAUAAGAAUAAGAUAGAUAUUUAAAUAUCAAUCUUAUCAAGUGGCCAGCAUGGGAAUAUAGUACUCUCCUAGUGCUAUAUGAACAUUUAAUGUGACUUUAGGGUCAGGUUUUGACUGCUAUUUCAGCGUGGUGGUAUCUGUCAGAUACCCUAACUUAUAAUUUUAUAUAUAUAUAUACACACACACACACACACACACACAUACAGUCUCAUGUAUACAUAUGCUGGACCAUUGAAAUCUACAAGUUUUUUUUUUCAUUCUCUCUCUGUUUAUUUUCUCUUAUUCCUAUCAGUUGAAGAGCAUAGGUUCGAAAUAUAAAAGACUUUUUUUAUUUUCCCGAGCGUCAAACUAAUACACUUGCUUGUUGUUCAUACACCUGUCUUCAUCUUUUGUUUUUCUAUGAAUUUCAACUACAAGUAUAUAUAUAUAUAUAUGUACAUGUAUGUAUGUAUACUUAUAUAUAUGUGUGUAUAUAAACACAUACAUUGCUUAAGGUAGGACAAAUGAGAAAAAGUGUGCUCAAAACAUGUUAUAGAGGAUGGAUUCUUUUUUAUUUAAACUGAAGCUAAAAGUUUGUUUUGUAGUUCAAGUUUCAUUAAGUAAGAAAAACGCAAGUUUUAGUGAGCAAUAUAAUACAUCUUUAGUACUUAAAUAUUCCUGGAUGAUAAAAUAAUGGAGUAAGAAGCAGGUUUUUAGUGUAUCAUUUCUCCGACAUUGAUUCAGUCCUAUGCGUUGGAACCAUCUGUUCUCAUUCACAUCUUAGGAAAGGCAGGAAUCACACAAUCUCCCAUUAUUUUUCUCUUCCUCUUCCAAGAUAUAUACAUAUAAAUGUAUGCAUAUAUAUAUAUAUAUAU
rnacentral:lncRNA from 1 species